UUCAGGCUGUGCGGAGACACAGGGAGGGAAGCAGGUGUGGCAGGGCGACAGGUAAUCCCAGGCAAGCCAUCCAAGAGAAUGGGGAUCAGAUCUGGGCUCUCCACUAGGCCAGCUGUGUGACCCUGGACGGACAGAAAUAGGACGUGGCCUGUGGUGGAUGGCAUUUUCCAGAGACGGGUGCAAAACUGCCUCCGGUUCCUCAUGCUCUUCUUGCCAGGUGAUGUUGACACUCCUCCCGUGGAGCAGUGGGGCCUGUGUCCCCUCCCCUGGAAUCUCAGUGGCCUUUCUGCCAGCCUCAGUGAAUAGGGUGCAGCGUAAGUGACGCUCAGUGAGUUCUGAGCACAUCACCACAAUGCCAUGCACCCACCGUGCUUUCUUGGGACACCUGCUCUUGGAUCCCAGCGAGGUGGAAGCCCAAGCAGCCCGAGGAGAGGCUCCGGUGAGAGGAAUCGAGAGCCCGCCAGCCAUGUGAGUGAUCUGGAAAGCAGACUCCAUCCCCAGCUGAGCCACCUGCUGAUGCCCUGCUGAGCAGAGACAAGCCACCCCGGGCCCUCUGCAUGUCCUGCCUAAAUAGCAUCUCAUGAACAAAAUAAGUGAUUGUUUUUGUUUUAUGCCACUCAGUGUGAAGUGUUACCGUCAUACAGUAACGGAUAACUAAAGCAUCGUCCACAAAAAGAUUUUAAGCAGAACGAUGGUGUUGAAGUGAAAGACUGUAUGAUGAAAGACUGAAUGUAAACUGGCUUAAGGGGAUAAAAACAGAAAAAAAAAAAAAAAAGGCUAUAUUGG